ACACUUACCAUGCAGGGGAGAUGCCAUGAUCCCGAAGGUGGUUUUCCUGGGGCGAGGCUUAUCCACCGUGCUCUGGAUGUGCUGACCCCUGUAAUGUCCCCAAACAUGGGCAAUUCAACUGCGUAAUUGUGGUAAUGGGGGGUUACGUUAAUGCUCUCCCCUG